GACGAACGCUGGCGGCGUGCUUAACACAUGCAAGUCGAACGGAAAGGCCUCUUUCGGGGGGUACUCGAGUGGCGAACGGGUGAGUAACACGUGAGUAACCUGCCCUUGACUUUGGGAUAACUUCAGGAAACUGGGGCUAAUACCGGAUAGGAGCUCCUGCUGCAUGGUGGGGGUUGGAAAGUUUCGGCGGUUGGGGAUGGACUCGCGGCUUAUCAGCUUGUUGGUGGGGUAGUGGCUUACCAAGGCUUUGACGGGUAGCCGGCCUGAGAGGGUGACCGGCCACAUUGGGACUGAGAUACGGCCCAGACUCCUACGGGGGGCAGCAGGGGGGAAUAUUGCACAAUGGGUGGAAGCCUGAUGCAGCAACGCCGUGUGCGGGAUGACGGGCUUCGGGUUGGAAACCGCUUUCGCUCAUGACGAAGCUUUGUGUGACGGUAGUGGGUAAAGAAGCACCGGCUAACUACGUG
rnacentral:rRNA from 1 species